GUGGGGAAUAUUGGACAAUGGGGGCAACCCUGAUCCAGCAAUGCCGCGUGAGUGAUGAAGGCCUUAGGGUUGUAAAGCUCUUUUGCCAGGGAAGAUGAUGACUGUACCUGGAGAAUAAGCCCCGGCUAACUUCGUGCCAGCAGCCGCGGUAAUACGAAGGGGGCUAGCGUUGUUCGGAAUUACUGGGCGUAAAGGGCGCGUAGGCGGCCGUUUAAGUUAGGUGUGAAAGUCCUGGGCUCAACCUGGGGACUGCACUUAAUACUGGAUGGCUUGAAUUCGGGAGAGGAUAGCGGAAUUCCCAGUGUAGAGGUGAAAUUCGUAGAUAUUGGGAAGAACACCGGUGGCGAAGGCGGCUAUCUGGACCGACAUUGACGCUGAGGCGCGAAAGCGUGGGGAGCAAACAGGAUUAGAUACCCGAGUAGUCC
rnacentral:rRNA from 1 species